rnacentral:piRNA from 1 species
AACAUUACUUUGAAGCUUGGCUUUAGGAGC